rnacentral:rRNA from 1 species
AACGAACGCUGGCGGCAGGCCUAAUACAUGCAAGUCGAACGCCCUAGCAAUAGGGAGUGGCGCACGGGUGAGUAAUGCAUGGGAACAUACCCUUCGGUACGGAACAACACCGGGAAACUGGUGCUAAUACCGUAUAACAUCUACGGAUCAAAGAUUUAUCGCCUGGGGAUUGGCCCAUGUUGGAUUAGCUUGUUGGUGGGGUAAUGGCCUACCAAGGCGACGAUCCAUAGCUGGUCUGAGAGGAUGAUCAGCCACACUGGAACUGAGACACGGUCCAGACUCCUACGGGAGGCAGCAGUAAGGAAUAUUGGACAAUGGGGGAAACCCUGAUCCAGCCAUGCCGCGUGAAUGAAGGAGGCCUUAGGGUUGUAAAGUUCUUUUAGGGAUGACGAUAAUGACGGUAGUCCCAGAAAAAGCUCCGGCUAACUCCGUGCCAGCAGCCGCGGUAA